AAGGCGAUCAACUCUUUACAGAUGCUCAUAUGCUGGGAGAUUUGGAAUGAAAGGAAUGCGUGGGCUUUCCGCAACAAGGCAUCCCUGCCCACUCAAGUGGCGGCGACAAUCAUGAACGAGGCGAGGACUUGGGUAAUUGUUGGGGCUAUAUUUGUAGGAAACAUUUCACCGGGAGAGUGA
rnacentral:rRNA from 1 species